UUAGGAAUAUUCGUCAAUGGGGGAAACCCUGAACGAGCAAUGCCGCGUGAGUGAUGACGGUCCUCUGGAUUGUAAAACUCUGUUUUUUAGGAAAAAUUGCACAAACAGGAAAUGGUUUGUGUUUGAUGGUACUAUUCAAGAAAGCCACGGCUAACUACGUGCCAGCAGCCGCGGUAAUACGUAGGUGGCGAGCGUUAUCCGGAUUUAUUGGGCGUAAAGCGUCCGCAGACGGUUUGUUAAGUUUAGAAUCAAACCCUGGAGCUUAACUCCAGUUCGUUCUAAAAACUGGCAGACUUGAGUGUAGUAGAGGCAAGUGGAAUUUCUAGUGUAGCGGUAGAAUGCGUAGAUAUUAGAAGGAACACCAGUGGCGAAGGCGACUUGCUGGGCUAUUACUGACGUUCAUGGACGAAAGCGUGGGGAGCGAAUAGG
rnacentral:rRNA from 1 species